GUAUGGGCGAGAGCCUGAACCAGCCNAGUAGCGUGAAGGAUGACUGCCCUAUGGGUUGUAAACUUCUUUUAUAAAGGAAUAAAGUCGGGUAUGCAUACCCGUUUGCAUGUACUUUAUGAAUAAGGAUCGGCUAACUCCGUGCCAGCAGCCGCGGUAAUACGGAGGAUCCGAGCGUUAUCCGGAUUUAUUGGGUUUAAAGGGAGCGUAGAUGGAUGUUUAAGUCAGUUGUGAAAGUUUGCGGCUCAACCGUAAAAUUGCAGUUGAUACUGGAUAUCUUGAGUGCAGUUGAGGCAGGCGGAAUUCGUGGUGUAGCGGUGAAAUGCUUAGAUAUCACGAAGAACUCCGAUUGCGAAGGCAGCCUGCUAAGCUGCAACUGACAUUGAGGCUCGAAAGUGUGGGUAUCAAACAGGAUUAGAUACCCUGGUAGUCCAAGGGCGAAUUC
rnacentral:rRNA from 1 species